rnacentral:rRNA from 1 species
GGGAGAUAGCUGGUUCUCCCCGAAAGCUAUUUAGGUAGCGCCUCGUGAAUUCAUCUCCGGGGGUAGAGCACUGUUUCGGCAAGGGGGUCAUCCCGACUUACCAACCCGAUGCAAACUGCGAAUACCGGAGAAUGUUAUCACGGGAGACACACGGCGGGUGCUAACGUCCGUCGUGAAGAGGGAAACAACCCAGACCGCCAGCUAAGGUCCCAAAGUCAUGGUUAAGUGGGAAACGAUGUGGGAAGGCCCAGACAGCCAGGAUGUUGGCUUAGAAGCAGCCAUCAUUUAAAGAAAGCGUAAUAGCUCACUGGUCGAGUCGGCCUGCGCGGAAGAUGUAACGGGGCUAAACCAUGCACCGAAGCUGCGGCAGCGACGCUUAUGCGUUGUUGGGUAGGGGAGCGUUCUGUAAGCCUGCGAAGGUGUGCUGUGAGGCAUGCUGGAGGUAUCAGAAGUGCGAAUGCUGACAUAAGUAACGAUAAAGCGGGUGAAAAGCCCGCUCGCCGGAAGACCAAGGGUUCCUGUCCAACGUUAAUCGGGGCAGGGUGAGUCGACCCCUAAGGCGAGGCCGAAAGGCGUAGUCGAUGGGAAACAGGUUAAUAUUCCUGUACUUGGUGUUACUGCGAAGGGAGGACGGAGAAGGCUAUGUUGGCCGGGCGACGGUUGUCCCGGUUUAAGCGUGUAGGCUGGUUUUCCAGGCAAAUCCGGAAAAUCAAGGCUGAGGCGUGAUGACGAGGCACUACGGUGCUGAAGCAACAAAUGCCCUGCUUCCAGGAAAAGCCUCUAAGCAUCAGGUAACAUCAAAUCGUACCCCAAACCGACACAGGUGGUCAGGUAGAGAAUACCAAGGCGCUUGAGAGAACUCGGGUGAAGGAACUAGGCAAAAUGGUGCCGUAACUUCGGGAGAAGGCACGCUGAUAUGUAGGUGAAGUCCCUCGCGGAUGGAGCUGAAAUCAGUCGAAGAUACCAGCUGGCUGCAACUGUUUAUUAAAAACACAGCACUGUGCAAACACGAAAGUGGACGUAUACGGUGUGACGCCUGCCCGGUGCC